rnacentral:rRNA from 1 species
GACGAACGCUGGCGGCGUGCCUAAUACAUGCAAGUAGAACGCUGAAGCUUGGUGCUUGCACCGAGCGGAUGAGUUGCGAACGGGUGAGUAACGCGUAGGUAACCUGCCUGGUAGCGGGGGAUAACUAUUGGAAACGAUAGCUAAUACCGCAUAACAGUAGAUAUCGCAUGAUAGCUACUUGAAAGGUGCAAAUGCACCACUACCAGAUGGACCUGCGUUGUAUUAGCUAGUUGGUGAGGUAACGGCUCACCAAGGCAACGAUACAUAGCCGACCUGAGAGGGUGAUCGGCCACACUGGGACUGAGACAUGGCCCAGACUCCUACGGGAGGCAGCAGUAGGGAAUCUUCGGCAAUGGACGGAAGUCUGACCGAGCAACGCCGCGUGAGUGAAGAAGGUUUUCGGAUCGUAAAGCUCUGUUGUAAGAGAAGAACGAGUGUGAGAGUGGAAAGUUCACACUGUGACGGUAUCUUACCAGAAAGAGACGGCUAACUACGUG